rnacentral:misc_RNA from 1 species
UGCACCAAGUUCUAAUGGACUGCCACCUGCCAGUGCACCAUGUUCCAAUGGACUGCCGGCUGCCAGUGCACCAAGUUCUAGUGGACCUCUUAAACAGAAGGCUGAAAUAUGUAGUCCACUUCCAUGCUCCACAGUUGUUGCCAAUAAUAGUCAGGUCUUGUCAUUGCCUGCCGAAGCAGGAAAAAAAGCUAUUCAUAGCAAAGAAAGUGGCAUUAGUCAAGAGAAACGUAAAAUAGACAUGUUAGAACCUGUUAAACAGUCUGUAGGAGCAGAUGAUGCAACCUAUAGUUCUGAAAAACCCGAUAUCGCCAUACGUCCUGCUUCUUCAUUUAUGAACAGUCAGUUAGAUAUCACCCCGUCUUUGAAGGACACAGAUAUACAUUUGAUCACAUCAUCCAGUGCUACAGAUACCUUUGAUCUUCCUUUGAUGUCCAAUGGACCUAGUUUACCAAAAGAUCCCUAUGAUGCCACAGAUGUUGAGCAGAAUGUAUGCUCAGAUUUUUCGUCAUUUAGCAUUGAUAAACAACAAAAGUCACAUGCUACCUGUGAGAAAUCAGGGGAGCUGUCGCCUUCUCAGACGAAUGGGAAAUCUGUGAUUUCUGCAGAUGGUGUAUUUAUCUCAAGACAAACGUCUGAUUUGGGACUGGAAACACAGGAACAAGGAAUACAAGACACAACUCCUGAAAUGGAGGAUGAUUUGCUAUCUUUCAAUGCACAGAGACAUAGGGACCCUGAAGUAAUUUUGGAGAAAAGCCACUCAUCAAGUCCUUCCAUCUCUUUACACUCUUCAGGGCAGCUCAAUAGUUAUUCUUCGCAGUUUGCCAAUGGGGUUGGACCUAUUAGAGCCAACAUGCAAACUUUUGAUCAGAGAGCUGAUUCAGUAUUACAGCCUUCAAGUAUUGGAAAACCUUCUAAUGGAUACCUUGAAAAUCCAUUCAGUUGUGCGGGUAAAUAUUUGGGAAGCACUGAUGACACUUUUUAUUUGUCUAGCGAAAGUAAGAGGAUGCACAUGAAUAGGUUUGAAGGUGAAACUGCAACUGCGGAUCAUAGUUCUGCUGCAGAUAGGGGAGAGAACAAUAUAAUAUCUAAUAUUUUGUCUAUGGAUUUCGAUCCAUGGAAUGAGUCAUUAGCCUCUCAGAACUUGGUUAAGUUGUUGGGAGAAACUGCUAAACAACAAGGGUCUAGAGUAUCAAACUCAAGAAAAGUACAGAGCAGCAAUCAAUCAAGGUUCUCUUUUGCAAGGGAGGAAGAACCCAUGAAUGCAUCAGCUGAUUCUCGACCAUCUUUAAGUUACAUUGACAGAAGUUAUAGUCAUCGCCCUCUUGAUAAAGAUUUUCAAAAUAGCAGAAGUUAUCAGCUUGAUGGUUUUGGUACUCGCAAUGGUUUCUCUCUAUUUAAUAAUCAGGAAUCUAAUGGUUUUGCCGACAAUUAUUCUCACCUCUCCUCUAAUAAGCAAUCAGUGUCGAGAUCUCAGAUGACUGCACCUCCAGGGUUUUCAGCACCAAAUAGGGCCCCACCCCCAGGCUUUGCAUAUGAGAAAAUGGAACAUAAUUUUGCUUCUCUCUCUGGUACCCACAUGCUUGAUACCACCUCCUUACUGCGCAAUGAAUAUCCGUCAAUUGGCAAUGUCAACAAUGGGGACAUUGAGUUUAUGGAUCCUGCAAUUUUGGCAGUUGGUAAAGGCAGGGUCCAAAAUGGCCUUAAUGGCUCAAGUCUAGACAUGUCUCCAAGUUUUCCUCCACAGCCAAGUGGUUUUGAAAAUGAGGCAAGACUUCAGUUUCUCAUGCAAAGAUCUCUCUCUAUGCAUCAGAAUCAGAGAUACACUGAUAAUGGGGAUAACUUUUUCAAUGAUGCUUAUGGAAUUUCUUCGAGGGUUGUGGAGCAAACUCUGGCCAACAA